GAUGAACGCUGGCGGCGUGCUUAACACAUGCAAGUCGAACGAGAAAUGUAGACGGAAACCUUCGGGCGGAAGCCUUCAUUUCGAGUGGCGGACGGGUGAGUAACGCGUGGGUAACCUGCCUCAUACAGGGGGAUAACAGUUGGAAACGACUGUUAAUACCGCAUAAGACCACAGCAUCGCAUGAUGCGGGGGUAAAAACUCCGGUGGUAUGAGAUGGACCCGCGUUCGAUUAGCCAGUUGGCGGGGUAACGGCCCACCAAAGCGACGAUCGAGAGCCGAGCGGAGAGGAGGACCGGCCACAUUGGGACUGAGGCACGGCCCAAACUCCUACGGGAGGCAGCAGUGGGGAAUAUUGCACAAUGGGGGAAACCCUGAUGCAGCGACGCCGCGGGAGUGAAGAAGUACUUCGGUAUGUAAAGCUCUAUCAGCAGGGAAGAAAAUGACGGUACCUGAGGAAGAAGCCCCGGCUAACUACGUG
rnacentral:rRNA from 1 species